GAUCGUCAGUUGCGUCAGUGGUCAGUGGUUGGUUGUCAGCCUCUCAUUAUAGCUUUCUCAUCAAUAAAUAUCUAAACCAAAUUCGAUCCCCUUUUUAUUUUAAAUCCUCCCAAAUUAGAUAACCAAACUCGAUUUCAAUAAAUCAAGACGUCAGUAUAAAAAAAAUAUAUUCGUUACUGUAAUAAUUUAAAAAUAGAUAGAUUAUUAGGUUAUCUCAAUUUCGAUUCUGUUUAAUGUUUUUGAAGAGAGCGAAAUAAUAUUUUGCAGAUAUAGGAAAAAAUGAAGGGUUUUUUUUUUCGGGAAUUCGCUCGUAAAACAGAUCCGUAUAAUUGAAUUCCCGAUCCGUUACAGCCGCUGUAACAGAACGUUACAUUAGUAGUUAUCACCCAGCGCACACGUGGCGUCCAAGCUUGCCGUUUUGAAGGGGAGAGGGGAUGGCGGUUUAAAUGGGCGGUGGAAUCGAACGGCGGGCUCGUGGCCUAAGGUUUCCUAAUCCGUCUCUCCGCACCUCUUCGUCUCGCUUCGGCGAUCUUUAGGGUAGGGUUUGGAGUUCUUUUGGGUCUUCGGUGUCAUUGCUCUUCCGCGUCCGGCGGAAGCGCCGGCCAAUUCAACGAGCGCAAUUUGGUGAUUAAUGUUGGCUUCUUUUUAUCCUAUUUUGUUGAAUUUCUUUGUUAAUUGUAACUCCUUUCGCCGUCUACUCGCUUUUGAUCUUGAAUUCGAUGGAGUGCCUGACGAUUUGUUGUCGGUUUCAAUCGAUUAUUUGAUGGAAUCUUUGAUGUCUCAUCCGAUGAUCAUCCGGCCUAAUUUCUCCAUAGCCAGUGAAAAUCUCAUGGUAUGUGUUUUUCCUCUUUUGUUACGCCCGUCAUUUGAAGGGUAACGGAACACAGAAUUGGGCGCUGUAGCUGAUGUUUUAAGUAUUAGGGAUUUUGUGCCAGAAACUAAUGGAUUUUCUUCAAAUCGUGGUAAUGAUGCUUUAAGUAUUAGGGUUUUGUGCCAGAAACUGAUGGAUUUUCUUUAAAUCGUGAUACGAUCCUUGAAAUUAAUUCUUCUUCUGCUGGUAACGGGAUGGUAUGCCUUUACCGAUCUAUUGGUGUCUACUCUCUGGCAUUGUCAUGUUCUUCAUUAUGCAUGUUUUAUCGAGGAAUGAGGUUAGAUUUGAGAACAUUGAACCGAGUAAGGUUCUUCAUUUACUGGCAUGUAUUAUGCUGAUAAUGUGCUGGGAUAUUAGAGUUCUACAAGAAGAUCUUUGUUAAAGAAUAUAGUUUUUUUUUUUUAAGUGGAUGAUUUGCUGCAUGGUUGGGCAAUAUCAUCUGAAGUUACCAAUAAUCGCAUCAGAAAGUUGAUGUAAGUUCCUCUGUUAGUACAGAUCUGGUGGGCGUUUAAUAUUGAAUCUGAACUCAUAUUAGCAAUAGCCAAUAACCUCCUUGUAAUUUUUCAAAAAGAAGCCCCUUAUAGAAGUCUUUUCCCUUACAUUUUUGGUUGUACAGAUUUGAAUUAGGGUGUGCAGUUCGGCUUGGAUGCCAACCAGCGAAAUACUAAGUUGGCAGGUCAGGUUUUACCAUGCCGAUAUGCUGAAUCUGUGCCACCUUGAUGGAGAUCUGACAUGCAGCAAAUUUGGACUUGCCAAGCAUUAAAUAGCAAAGAAGCAAAUGAACUUGAUGGUCUUGCAGGGCUUGGGAAGAAUCUUCAACAUGCCAACUUUGUGGUUCAUAUACAAAAGUUGUGGGCGCCCUCCUAUUCGGUCGUUUUGCGUAGGGCAAAGUUGACUUGUUUGUUUCUUUCAUUUGACGCUGAGAAUUUGGCAAAUAGCUUCAAAUGAGAGAAGAAUGGGCUAAGAUAAAGUUAGGA